GUAAAUUCCCUUUUUUAAAGUAUCGACUUUAUCGAUAACUUAAUCUUCGGCGUCGAUAAUUCUUCAAAUUAUCGACGCGUUCCCAUCCCUAGUCAGCGAAGCGGUCUUUUGUUCUUGUCCCCACUAUCGCGGCAGCCCCACUCAGUGACCACUGGCUCUCGAUCAUUCGUCCACGGGCUACGGCAUCGACUGCGCGUGACCCUACCUCACGGCAGUCCUCUAGGUGCCUAGCCCGCUCUAAAGUGUCGAAUGACCUAGACUUUACCAGUGGUACCUUGUGCGUGUCUUCCCCAAUAUCGGGGUCCAAGGUCCACGCUACUACUCCAAGGUCCACGCUUACGUCCACGGUACGGUUUACCGACUGCACGGAACUACCUACUUCUACGGCUCGCCCUCUACGUGCUGGUUCGGCAACCCCCUACCUUCGUGUUGCUGACCACGCCGUGCAGCCGAGCUACACGCCACGCGCACGCAACGGCCACGUGACCUGCCUGCCUACCUACCUGGGCACUGGAGAAGAGGACUUCCACGCCGGUCACGUUAUCGGGGUUCCACGCCGAUACUCUUCGACUCAGGGGAGUCCCUAUCCGUGCCAACUGAAAACUGACUGAUCGUGUAGUGUAGGCCUAACCCACGUUGACCUAUAAAUAAAUUUGUGUCAAGCUGAA